CACGUAGUUAGCCGGCGCUUCUUCUGCAGGUACCGCCACUUGCGCUUCUUCCCUGCUGAAAGAGGUUUACAACCCGAAGGCCGUCAUCCCUCACGCGGCGUCGCUGCAUCAGGCUUGCGCCCAUUGUGCAAUAUUCCCCACUGCUGCCUCCCGUAGGAGUCUGGGCCGUGUCUCAGUCCCAGUGUGGCCGGUCGCCCUCUCAGGCCGGCUACCCGUCGUCGCCUUGGUGAGCCGUUACCUCACCAACAAGCUGAUAGGCCGCGGGCUCAUCCUGCACCGCCGGAGCUUUCCACACAGAGGAGAUGCCUCCCUGUGUCGUAUCCGGUAUUACGACCCCGUUUCAGGGCUUGGUCCCAGAGUGCAGGGCAGAUUCGCCCACGUGUUACUCACCCGUUCGCCACUAACUCCACCCCGAAGGGCCUUCAUCGUUCGACUUGCAUGUGUUAAGCACGCCGCCAGCGUUCGUCCUGACGCCGAGGACGUACAAACUCCUCUGACGACUAC
rnacentral:rRNA from 1 species